ACUUUACAAAAUAAAACAAGAAACUCAAUACAGAACCAUGACAGUUGUCAGUGCCCUCUUCUGUGCUGUGGUGUGCUGGGGAGGCAACGCCAAGAAGAAGGGUACUACUACACCAUAGUCAGGCAGUGAAGCACGUUCAGUGACAGGCUGCUGUCUCUGUCCUGCUCCAUGGACAGGUUGAGGAAGACGUUUAUCUCUCAGGACAUAAGACAACACCUCACUGUGAGGAACCAACUACUAUACUCUGAUCUAUCCCUCCCUGAAACCAGUUUAAAACCUGUCACACAUAAACAGCCGAGGGGGAGCAGAAUGAAACACACACCUGAUCUCAUGAUUUACGGCACAUCUGUGGAGUUAUGAGAGGUCCUUCUUUUACCACCCCAUUAAAA